CAAUAGCGUAUAUUAAAGUUGUUGCGGUUAAAAAGCUCGUAGUUGGAUCUCGGCGAGCAGGGGGCGGUUCGAUGUUCGUCGUUACUGCCCCAUUUGCUCGUGUGAUUGGCGGAGGCUGCGGGGCGCUCUUCGUUGAGUGUCCCGUGGUGCCGUCGGGUUUACUUUGAAAAAAUUAGAGUGCUCAAAGCAGGCUUCACACGCUUGAAUAUUCGUGCAUGGAAUAAUGGAAUAGGAACUCGUUUCUAUUUUGUUGGUUUUCGGAAAUUGAGUUAAUGAUUAAUAGGGACAAUUGGGGGCAUUAGUAUUCAGACGACAGAGGUGAAAUUCUUGGACCGUCUGAAGACUAACUACUGCGAAAGCAUUUGCCAAGAGUGUUUUCAUUA
rnacentral:rRNA from 1 species